GUUGAUUUCCUCCAAGGCCCGCCCAGAGCUGCGCUUGUCACUCAACGCCAACACGCGCGUCACGUGACCCGAGCUGAGGGCCCCAUCUUCAGAGCCACGCCUCUAAUGGCUUGAGUAGUCCAUGGAGGGUUGCCUUCUGAAAGGGGUUGACGCAGAAACUACCUCCUGUUGAUUAUAGCUUCUCAUUCCUCUAGAAUGACGGACGCAGUUCCUAUGCCUAAUGUAUGCAAAUAAAACCAUCCGCAAAAUGAUACUCCCAUCUGGGAUUCUAUAGGACUGUUCCUGAGAAAAGCCUGCCUGAUGUUUUCACCACCUCCAGGCAGAGUUCAAUAAAAACGAACUUAGCCAAAUGCCUGACAGGUAGUAAGUGCUCAAGAAACAGUUGACUGGACGACUGCUCCAUUCCUUCUCUGCGUAUCUGAACACUCAAGCACCGGAAGGCACCUAAACCCAGAGCCUCUCCAGACCAUAUGACAUCAGUCAAAGACUCUGCUUGAGAAUUAUUUUUGUUCUUGGCCUCAGCUCCGGAUCACAGCAACUUAUAUAUGCCAUCUCUGUUUCAGAGACAGUUUAUUUUCAGCUGCCAAGCCACUUUUUUCCAAGCCUUCAGUCAAAUAAUUUCUCCUGAAGAAAAAGAAAAGAGAAUGACAUAACUGUCAGGGUUUUAUUUCAAAAGAAGAGUGGUUAUAUAGAUUUUUUGUGUGUGUUCAUAUCAAAGUGUCAAUAACUGUUAAAGAGGAACAGUCAACUAGCAAGUCACUUGUCAAUGAUUCUUCCAUCUUUGACAUGGGAGAGAUUUGAAGAACAUUUAUUUAGCAAUUUUUUUAUUAAAUGUCUACUUGGCUUACUGGACUAAGUUGUGGCAAUCUGAGAAUGGACCAGAUUUCACUCAAGAUGUUUGCCUUCAAGGAGUUUAUAGUCUAGUGGGAAAAAUAAACAAGUAAAAUCUGGGAACUUUAAGCAUAAAUCUCUGGAACAUUCAUAGUCAUUGUAUAACAGGAAUUCUUUAACAUUUUGGAUGUUAUUUUCUCAUCUUUCCAUUGAACAAAAUUGACUCAAGCCUUUAAUAAUCUCUGCUGUGUACUUGCAGUAGAAAAUGUCAACAAGUAAUCCUAACAAUUCUCCAGGAAGUGGAGGCUCAGGUGGUUAGUGAGUAGUCCCAAUAUUGAGCUCAAAAGUCGGUCUUCUACAUCCAUUUUUUCUGUCGUGUGUUUCUAUCAUGAACACGUUUCCAUUAUAGCAGAUUGAUGCUCUUACCCAAAUUUAUUUACCUAUCUACUAGACCACGAAGUCAAAGACCACUUUUCAUUUGUAUAUCUGCCCAUCACCCUAAUAGAUUGUGACCUUUUGAGAUGAGAAACAUGGUUCCUGCCCUCAAGAGGAUCAAAUUUGGAGAAAAACGUAGAUAAUCAUAUCAAAUAGGGUGAGAACAAGCACUGAAAUCAAGUUUAUUGUUAACAUGUGGAGGAGGAGCACCUCAUUCAACCUGCGUUCAACAAGAAGUACUUCUCAAAAAUGUCAAGCUCAAGACGAGUAUUGAAGAACCAGUAGGAAUUGGCCAAGCUAAAAAGAGACAAAGAGUGCUCCAUACACAGGCACAUAUACCUUUGUAUGUAUCUCCUUGCCUAUGAAGUGUAGAGUAAAACUCAUUACAAGUAUUCUGGAUCCAUUUUUGGCUAAGUGAAGAGGAAAGUUUUACCAGCUGAUGGCCGUUUGAUGACCUACAUGGAAAGAACUGGUAGACUCAGGAGAGCACAAUUGAGAGAAGUGAUCACAUCACAAAAUGUGACAUCAUUCUUUGGCACCAGCUGGCAUCCUGGACAUGGAGAAUACAUUUGGAGGAGUCAUUGCUCUUGAAACC